GACGAACGCUGGCGGCGUGCUUAACACAUGCAAGUCGAACGGAAAGGCCCUGCUUUCGUGGGGUGCUCGAGUGGCGAACGGGUGCGUAACACGUGAGUAACCUGCCCUUGACUUUGGGAUAACUUCAGGAAACUGGGGCUAAUACCGGAUAGGAGCUCCUGCUGCAUGGUGGGGGUUGGAAAGUUUCGGCGGUUGGGGAUGGACUCGCGGCUUAUCAGCUUGUUGGUGGGGUAGUGGCUUACCAAGGCUUUGACGGGUAGCCGGCCUGAGAGGGUGACCGGCGACAUUGGGACUGCGAGAGGGCCCAGACGCCUACGGGAGACAGCAGUGGCGAAUAUUGCACAAUGGGCGGAAGCCUGAUGCAGCGACGCCGCGUGCGGGAUGACGGCCUUCGGGGUGUAAACCGCUUUCGCCUGUGACGAAGCGUGAGUGACGGUAAUGGGUAAAGAAGCACCGGCUAACUACGUG
rnacentral:rRNA from 1 species